rnacentral:rRNA from 1 species
UAGGGAAUAUUGGGCAAUGGACGAGAGUCUGACCCAGCCAUGCCGCGUGCAGGAUGAAGGCUUUCUGAGUCGUAAACUGCUUUUAUCAGGGAAGAAAAAAGGGCAUGCGUGCUUUACUGACGGUACCUGAUGAAUAAGCACCGGCUAACUCCGUGCCAGCAGCCGCGGUAAUACGGAGGGUGCAAGCGUUGUCCGGAUUUAUUGGGUUUAAAGGGUGCGUAGGCGGCUGAUUAAGUCUGGGGUGAAAGCCCGUUGCUCAACAACGGAACUGCCCUGGAAACUGGUUAGCUUGAGUACAGACGAGGGUGGCGGAAUGGAUACUGUAGCGGUGAAAUGCAUAGAUAGUAUCCAGAACACCGAUUGCGAAGGCAGCUGCCUAGACUGUAACUGACGCUGAGGCACGAAAGCGUGGGGAGCGAACA